AAAAACAGUAGACUACAGCAGCAAUUGCAUAACGAUUGUCUUCAAGUUAUCAAAUUAUAUACCACAACGGUCACGAAAAAUAUCCCCAACAUGAAGGUUUUCGUAAUACUGUGUGUCUUUGCUGCUUGCAUGUUUGCUGCAGGAGAUCCGAUCCCUACAGUUGUCCCUACACCGGAACAACCAUCGUGGAACAGCGGUAACGAAGUCGCCUAUGAUACCUAUGAAGCGCUAUAUGGACGAAAGGAAGAAGGUAUGUAUCAUGACAUUUAAAAACUACUGCAUAAUUACACCUUGAGGCUCUAAUUAUGUUUGA